rnacentral:rRNA from 1 species
UGGGGAAUUUUGGACAAUGGGCGAAAGCCUGAUCCAGCAAUGCCGCGUGUGUGAAGAAGGCCUUCGGGUUGUAAAGCACUUUUUGUCCGGAAAGAAAUCCUUGGCUCUAAUACAGUCGGGGGAUGACGGUACCGGAAGAAUAAGCACCGGCUAACUACGUGCCAGCAGCCGCGGUAAUACGUAGGGUGCAAGCGUUAAUCGGAAUUACUGGGCGUAAAGCGUGCGCAGGCGGUUUGCUAAGACCGAAUGUGAAAUCCCCGGGCUCAACCUGGGAACUGCAUUGGUGACUGGCAGGCUAGAGUAUGGCAGAGGGGGGUAGAAUUCCACGUGUAGGCAGUGAAAAUGCUAGAGAUGUGGAGGAAUACCGAUGGCGAAGGCAGCCCCCUGGGCCAAAUACUGACGCUCAUGCACGAAAAGCCGUGGGGGAGCAAAACAGGAUUAGAUA